rnacentral:tRNA from 1 species
UGGGGAGUAGUGUAACGGCAGCACAGGAGCCUUUGGAGCUCCACGUCCAGGUUCGAAUCCUGGCUCCCCAG